rnacentral:rRNA from 1 species
UACAGAGGUCUCAAGCGUUGUUCGGAUUCAUUGGGCGUAAAGGGUGCGUAGGUGGCGCUGUAAGUCGGGUGUGAAAUUUCGGAGCUUAACUCCGAAACUGCAUUCGAUACUGCCGUGCUUGAGGACUGGAGAGGAGACUGGAAUUUACGGUGUAGCGGUGAAAUGCGUAGAUAUCGUAAGGAAGACCAGUGGCGAAGGCGGGUCUCUGGACAGUUCCUGACACUGAGGCACGAAGGCCAGGGGAGCAAACGGG